UACGGAGGGUGCAAACGUUGCUCGGAAUCAUUGGGCGUAAAGCGCACGUAGGCGGCGAAGCAAGUCGGGUGUGAAAGCCCUGGGCUCAACCCAGGAAGUGCAUUCGAAACUACUUCGCUUGAAUCUCGGAGGGGGUCAGAGAAUUCCCGGUGUAGAGGUGAAAUUCGUAGAUAUCGGGAGGAAUACCAGUGGCGAAGGCGCUGACCUGGACGAAGAUUGACGCUGAGGUGCGAAAGCGCGGGGAGCAAACA
rnacentral:rRNA from 1 species